UACGUAGGGGGCUAGCGUUGUCCGGAUUUAUUGGGCGUAAAGAGCGUGUAGGCGGCCAUGUAGGUCCGGUGUGAAAACUCGAGGCUUAACCUCGAGAUGUCAUCGGGAACCAUUUGGCUAGAGUCCGGAAGAGGAGAGUGGAAUUCCUGGUGUAGCGGUGAAAUGCGCAGAUAUCAGGAAGAACACCCGUGGCGAAGGCGGCUCUCUGGGACGGUACUGACGCUGAGACGCGAAAGCGUGGGGAGCGAACAGG
rnacentral:rRNA from 1 species